AGAGUUUGAUUAUGGCUCAGGAUGAACGCUGGCGGCGUGCCUAACACAUGCAAGUCGAACGAGGUUAUUUUGGAAUAUUCCUUCGGGGAUAGGAAUCUUUAACCUAGUGGCGGACGGGUGAGUAACGCGUGAGCAAUCUGCCUUUAAGAGGGGGAUAACAGUCGGAAACGACUGCUAAUACCGCAUAAAGUAUUGAGAGGACAUCCUCAUGAUACCAAAGGAGCAAUCCGCUUUUAGAUGAGCUCGCGUCUGAUUAGCUAGUUGGCGGGGUAACGGCCCACCAAGGCGACGAUCAGUAGCCGGACUGAGAGGUUGAACGGCCACAUUGGGACUGAGACACGGCCCAG
rnacentral:rRNA from 1 species